AGCUCCAAUAGCGUAUAUUUAAGUUGUUGCAGUUAAAAAGCUCGUAGUUGGAUUUCGGGUGGGUGUUAGCGGUCCGGCUCUGCUGUGUACUGCUAAUGCCUACCUUUCUGUCGGGGACGGGCUCUUGGGCUUAACUGUCCGGGACUCGGAGUCGGCGAGGUUACUUUGAGUAAAUUAGAGUGUUCAAAGCAGGCGUUCGCUAUGAAUACAUUAGCAUGGAAUAACAUGAUAGGACUCUGGCUUAUCU
rnacentral:rRNA from 1 species